ACAAGACUGGGAUUAAACUGAAAAAACUUUGAGGACAUGGAUUUGCUUGUGCUGGUCUCAGUGAUAGGAUCAGAGAAAGAUGUGAUAUAUCAAGGGUACUACAAAGUAUUGGCAUUUCUUGGGAAAGCAGUUUCAGUGCUGCCAUGAUAAACUGCUUAAACCAGUCAGGAUAUGUCAGGCAUGAAGCUGGAGUUCAGUUCAUAAUUGCAAUUUUUGCAGCAUUUUCAAACAAAUCAGAGUCAAUGUCCAUGAAUAAAGACUCCUUUAUGGAGAAGCUGGAGAAGAUGAAACCAUUUCAGGUGAUCAAGGAAUGGGAAGGAAUCUCCAGUUAAACAUCAUCUCCUUUAACAGCCUUGCUGUACUACAGCACCUCUGAGAAGAGCAGCAGCAAAGGCAAAAGGCAAAGCUGAGGCACCUCCCCCUGCCAGAACCAGGGCCCCAAAAAUGCCCCUCAGGGAUCAGCACUUGGGGAUUCUCUCCUAAAAGCUCCUGGUUGCCAUCCAGGUGAUUUCUCCAGAGAACCUGGUGCCCAGCAGGAGUUCACAUGUGGGAUGGCACUGGGAGGAUGUGAGGCUUGCUGAGCCCCAGAGGUCAUUGUCCACUCCCGUUGUGUGACAUGGGGGCUGCUGGUGCUAGGGCACCUCUGAGCCAUCCAAAGGGACAGGUGCUGAAAGGAACAUGUCCUGUUCUGUGACCUCCCAGACAAAGGGGCAGGGUUUGGGAAGGGGACGGGGAACUCAACAACUGAAAGUCUGGCUGUGCAGGUGGUGCUGAAGGUUUGGGAUCUGAGGAUCUACCCUGGAGCAGCUGGAUCUGCUGGGAGUUGAUAGCAUCCACCUGACCUCAUACCACGGGCCAAACCAGGGGGCCCUGCCAGGUAUUCCAGAGGGGCUGUGGGAGCUCUGGCUGGGCAGGACCAAGCGAGAGGCACCUCAGCUUAGGAGACACUGACAUCCCAAUGCCCUCACAGUAACUGAUAGAGACAUCCUUCACAUCCUGGCAGAGGGAGCUCAAUGCUGUUUAUACUCUUACCCCUUUCACUGGGUUUGACUAUGAGGAUUUGUGAUGGAAUUGUUGGAGAACGCCCCUGGCUGAGCUGAGUUUCCAGCAGCAGGUAGAGCUAAAACCCAGUGUUAAUAAAAAUCAAUGAAGCAUCCUCACAAGGCAAAGAGUUUCCCUUUACAGCUCACAGCCUCCUCACGCU